UACGUAGGGCGCAAGCGUUGUCCGGAAUUAUUGGGCGUAAAGAGCUCGUAGGCGGUCAUUUAAGUCUGACGUGAAAUCUCCGGGCCUAACCCGGAAACUGCGUUGGAUACUAUCUUGCUAGAGGAAUGGAGGGGAGACUGGAAUACUUGGUGUAGCAGUGAAAUGCGUAGAUAUCAAGUGGAACACCAGUGGCGAAGGCGAGUCUCUGGACAUUUCCUGACGCUGAGGCACGAAAGCCAGGGGAGCAAACGGG
rnacentral:rRNA from 1 species